rnacentral:rRNA from 1 species
CAAGUAGCGGAGCAUGUGGUUUAAUUCGAAGCAACGCGAAGAACCUUACCUAAGCUUGACAUCCCAAUGACAUCUCCUUAAUCGGAGAGUUCCCUUUGGGGACAUUGGUGACAGGUGGUGCAUGGUUGUCGUCAGCUCGUGUCGUGAGAUGUUGGGUUAAGUCCCGCAACGAGCGUAACCCUUGUCUUUAGUUGCCAUCAUUAAGUUGGGCACUCUAGAGAGACUGCCAGGGAUAACCUGGAGGAAGGUGGGGAUGACGUCAAAUCAUCAUGCCCCUUAUGCUUAGGGCUACACACGUGCUACAAUGGGUAGUACAGAGGGUUGCCAAGCCGUAAGGUGGAGCUAAUCCCUUAAAGCUACUCUCAGUUCGGAUUGUAGGCUGAAACUCGCCUACAUGAAGCUGGAGUUACUAGUAAUCGCAGAUCAGAAUGCUGCGGUGAAUACGUUCCCGGGUCUUGUACACACCGCCCGUCACACCACGGGAGUUGGAGACGCCCGAAGCCGAUUAUCUAACCUUUUGGAAGAAAUCGUCGAAGGUGGAAUCAAUAACUGGGGUGAAGUCGUAACAAGGUAGCCGUAUCGGAAGGUGCGGCUGGAUCACCUCCUUUCUAAGGA